UACGGAGGGUGCAAGCGUUAUCCGGAUUCACUGGGUUUAAAGGGUGCGUAGGUGGGUUGGUAAGUCAGUGGUGAAAUCCCCGAGCUUAACUUGGGAACUGCCAUUGAUACUAUCAGUCUUGAAUACCGUGGAGGUCAGUGGAAUAUGUCAUGUAGCGGUGAAAUGCUUAGAUAUGACAUAGAACACCAAUUGCGAAGGCAGCUGGCUAACACGAAAUAUUGACACUUGAGGCACGAAAGCG
rnacentral:rRNA from 1 species